rnacentral:snoRNA from 1 species
UUUCAUGAUGACAAAGGGCCUCGUGCCUGAUAUAAUCCCAGCUCUUCGAAAGCCUCACCUAAAACAACGCUUAGAGGUCUUUAUGAGAAGACGUCCCGUCUGAUUUU